rnacentral:rRNA from 1 species
GUCUAACAUGUAUGCGAGUAAACUGAGUUUUGAAACUCAUCAUGCAAAAUGAAAGUAAAAUUAUGGUAGGAAUGAUUUCACAAGGAGUCAUGCACUAUCAACCGACUUGGAUGGGGGUAACCUCUGAAAGGAUUGAGUAAGAGCAUUUAUGUUAGGACCCGAAAGAUGGUGAACUAUGCCUGAGUAGGGCAAAGUCAGAGGAAACUCUGAUGGAGGCUCGAAGGGGUUCUGACGUGCAAAUCGAUCUUCAAACUUGGGUAUAGGGGCGAAAGACUAAUCGAACCAUCAAGUAGCUGGUUCCCUCCGAAGUUUCCCUCAGGAUAGCUGGAACUUAUGAAGAAGUAGUUUUAUCAGGUAAAGCGAAUGAUUAGAGGCUUUGGGGAAGAAACUUCCUCGACCUAUUCUCAAACUUU